GACAACCCAUUUCUUCUGGUGAUGAGUAGUGUUCCAUUGUCUAGCUCUGUCACGGUUUAUUCAGCUCCUGGAGGACAUCUUGGCUGCCUCUAAGCUUUGAAAACUAUGACCAAAGGUGUUAGAAACAUCCGCUAUGAAUUGCUCAUAUGGUGAAGCCUCACCAACCCAAUGGAAGCCUUGAGGAGAGGGAUGCCCCCUCUCCCUGCCCAUGGCUGUGUCUCGCCGAAGGCCUGAUGGAAAUGAACAUUGACUACUCUUAACUUUCCAAGUGAUUAUAACCAAAUCUGAGCAAAGGAAAGGAAACAAAUAAUUACAUCAAAGGAUCAGAGGAUCAGAGGAAAGAAAUAAAUGUGAUCAGCAUGGUAGUGGAGUCGGGUUGUCUGUUUAUUUGUUUGUUUGCAUUUGUUUUUGUUUUCCUUAUCUCUUGGC